rnacentral:rRNA from 1 species
CCUACGGGAGGCUGCAGUGGGGAAUAUUGGACAAUGGGGGGAACCCUGAUCCAGCCAUGCCGCGUGUGUGAAGAAGGCCCUCGGGUUGUAAAGCACUUUCAGUGAGGAAGAACGCCUGGUGGUUAAUACCCAUCAGGAAAGACAUCACUCACAGAAGAAGCACCGGCUAACUCUGUGCCAGCAGCCGCGGUAAUACGGAGGGUGCGAGCGUUAAUCGGAAUUACUGGGCGUAAAGCGCGCGUAGGUGGCUUGAUAAGCCGGUUGUGAAAGCCCCGGGCUCAACCUGGGAACGGCAUCCGGAACUGUCAAGCUAGAGUGCAGGAGAGGAAGGUAGAAUUCCCGGUGUAGCGGUGAAAUGCGUAGAGAUCGGGAGGAAUACCAGUGGCGAAGGCGGCCUUCUGGACUGACACUGACACUGAGGUGCGAAAGCGUGGGUAGCAAACAGGAUUAGAUACCCUGGUAGUC